rnacentral:rRNA from 1 species
UACCCGCAGCACAAGUGGUGGUCAUUAUUAUUGGGCCUAAAGCGUCCGUAGCUGGCUUGUUAGAUGCCUGGGUAAAUCGAUGCGCUCAACGUAUCGAAUUCCGGGGUAGACCGGCAAGCUCGAGACCGGGAGAGGUGUAGGCUACUCGAGGGGUAGGGGUAAAAUCCUGUAAUCCUUCGGGGGAGGACCAGUGGCGAAGGCGCUACACUAGAACGGCUCUGACAGUGAGGGACGAAGCCCUGGGGCGCAAACCGG